rnacentral:lncRNA from 1 species
GGGAAUCGAUUUGCGACGUGGAAGUUUGUGUCCGUUACGGGCAGCACCAACCAACGGGCUUCGCCGGUGGACCGGUCAAAUCGGCCGGCGCCCGGUGACGGAGGAGGAGAAAGCAGAUUAAUUCAAUCGCGCUCCACGGGAGGGCGAGGAGCCUCCGGCGGCCAAGGGCAGCGGCGAUCCCCCGUGGCUUCCUUGUUGGUCCCGUUGAAUCCACAGGGUGGCGGGGACUGACAGACCAGAGCGCCAGUUGCUUGAUCCGCCGAGGGAGAGAGGGACGGAGUCGGCCCUGGUCGCUCGAUUUAUUUGCCGGGACUGGGAGAAGUAAAUGCACCGCUUCCUCCGGCUGCCUCCCGUCCGAUCAACAACAAGACCGAAUAUUAAAUUCCCUGCGAUGCCGAGGGAAGGGAAGGCGAGGGGAAGGACGGACACCUAUGCUCUUGCCAGUGACGUCCAGCCUGGCAGAGUCAAAUCUUCACCUCGCCUCCGCUCGGAAUAAUUCCACUCCACUCGCAUUAACUCCUUCGCCUCCCCCCCCUUCCCGCGAUCGCGCCCGCAGGAACGCCCCUCCGCCGCGGCGCCGCCUCGUUGCCGGCCGGUGGGAGGGCCGCCACGGCCCGCGCCCAUCUCCCGGCUGAUGCCGGUCGCCGGAUGGCUUCCUGCGAAAAAU